UAUUGCGCAAUGGACGAAAGUCUGACGCAGCGACGCCGCGUGUGGGAGGAAGCUCUUCGGGGUGUAAACCACUGUCAGAGGGGAAGAACGGCGUCUGGUCGAACAGACCAGGCGAUUGACGGUACCCUCAAAGGAAGCGCCGGCUAACUCCGUGCCAGCAGCCGCGGUACGACGGAGGGCGCAAGCGUUGUUCGGAAUUACUGGGCGUAAAGCGCGGGCAGGUGGUCUGUUAAGUCGUUUGUGAAAAUCCGGGGCUCAACCCCGUGAAAUGCGUACGAUACUGGCAGGCUGGAGAUCGGUAGAGGCUAGCGGAAUUCCUGGUGUAGCGGUGGAAUGCGUAGAGAUCAGGAAGAACACCCGUGGCGAAGGCGGCUAGCUGGGCCGAGUCUGACACUCAUCCGCGAAAGCGUGGGGAGCAAAC
rnacentral:rRNA from 1 species